rnacentral:rRNA from 1 species
GACGAACGCUGGCGGCGUGCCUAACACAUGCAAGUCGAGCGAGUGAAUCUCCUUCGGGAGUGAAGCUAGCGGCGGACGGGUGAGUAACACGCGGGCAACCUGCCUCAUAGAGGGGAAUAGCCUUUCGAAAGGAAGAUUAAUACCGCAUAAGAUUGUAGCUUCGCAUGAAGUAGCAAUUAAAGGAGCAAUCCGCUAAGAGAUGGGCCCGCGGCGCAUUAGCUAGUUGGUGAGGUAACGGCUCACCAAGGCGACGAUGCGUAGCCGACCUGAGAGGGUGAUCGGCCACAUUGGGACUGAGACACGGCCCAGACUCCUACGGGAGGCAGCAGUGGGGAAUAUUGCACAAUGGGGGAAACCCUGAUGCAGCAACGCCGCGUGAGUGAUGACGGCCUUCGGGUUGUAAAGCUCUGUCUUCAGGGACGAUAAUGACGGUACCUGAGGAGGAAGCCACGGCUAACUACGUGCCAGCAGCCGCGGUAA